rnacentral:rRNA from 1 species
CCUACGGGAGGCAGCAGUGAGGAAUAUUGGUCAAUGGGCGCGAGCCUGAACCAGCCAAGUAGCGUGAAGGAUGACUGCCCUACGGGUUGUAAACUUCUUUUAUAAAGGAAUAAAGUGAGGCACCUGUGCCUCUUUGUAUGUACUUUAUGAAUAAGGAUCGGCCAACUUCGUGCCAGCAGCCGCGGUAAUACGGAGGAUCCGAGCGUUAUCCGGAUUUAUUGGGUUUAACGGGAGCGUAGAUGGGUUGUUAAGUCAGUUGUGAAAGUUUGCGGCUCAACCGUAAAAUGGCAAUUGAUACUGGCAGUCUUGAGUACAGUUGAGGUAGGCGGAAUUCGUGGUGUAGCGGUGAAAUGCUUAGAUAUCACGAAGAACUCCGAUUGCGAAGGCAGCUUACUAAACUGCCACUGACAUUGAUGCUCGAAAGUGUGGGUAUCAAACAGGAUUAGAUACCCUGGUAGUC